GAUGAACGCUGGCGGCGUGCCUAAUACAUGCAAGUCGAGCGAACGGACGAGAAGCUUGCUUCUCUGAUGUUAGCGGCGGACGGGUGAGUAACACGUGGAUAACCUACCUAUAAGACUGGGAUAACUUCGGGAAACCGGAGCUAAUACCGUAUAAUAUUUUGAACCGCAUGGUUCAAAAGUGAAAGACGGUCUUGCUGUCACUUAUAGAUGGAUCCGCGCUGCAUUAGCUAGUUGGUAAGGUAACGGCUUACCAAGGCAACGAUGCAUAGCCGACCUGAGAGGGUGAUCGGCCACACUGGAACUGAGACACGGUCCAGACUCCUACGGGAGGCAGCAGUAGGGAAUCUUACGCAAUGGGCGAAAGCCUGACGGAGCAACGCCGCGUGAGUGAUGACGGUCUUCGGAUCGUAAAACUCUGUUAUUAGGGAAGAACAUAUGUGUAAGUAACUGUGCACAUCUUGACGGUACCUAAUAAGAAAGCCACGGCUAACUACGUG
rnacentral:rRNA from 1 species